GACGAACGCUGGCGGCGUGCUUAACACAUGCAAGUCGAGCGGAGCGGCGAACGGGUGAGUACUAUAUAGUUAAUCUGCCCUACACAGAGGAACAACAGUUGGAAACGACUGCUAAUACCUCAUAGUGUAGGAUGCGACUAUAUCGUAUCAGCUAGUUGGUAAGGUAAUGGCUUACCAAGGCUAUGACGCGUAACUGGUCUGAGAGGAUGAUCAGUCACAUUUGAGGUAAGACACGGUCCAAACGCUUACGGAAGGCAGCAGUAAGGAAUAUUGCGCAAUGGGGUAAACCCUGACGCAGCAAGGCCGCGUGGAGUAUGACACUUUUCGAAGCGUAAACUCCUUUUAGCAGGAAAGCGGUACCUGAUGAAUAAGCGCCGGCUAACUCCGUGCCAGCAGCCGCGGUAAUUC
rnacentral:rRNA from 1 species